rnacentral:lncRNA from 12 species
CCUAUGUCUCUGCCAUUCUCUCUCUCUCUCUCUCUCUCUCUCUCUCUGACUAUCAUAAAUAAAUUAAAAAAUUAAAAAAAAAAAAAAAAACAUUAAAGAAGGUAAAGGAGGAGGAGGAGAUGUGGAGACACUAAAUCCAACUAGAAAUCUAUCACGUCUCCCACACACUUUGAGUUUCCAGGGGUACAACUAAGACUAAUAGCGUGAGAUUUCCAAUUAAUGUUGGUAAUGGAAGAACUCAAAGAUGAUAAUACAAUAAGCACACCAGGACAGGAGAUGGCACAGAUGUGGGCUUCCUAGGGUAUGGGUGAAUUUCUGUACCAACCUUGUCAAUGUGACCACAUCAACAAUGGUUUGAAUAUCAGAUCUAAUGUCAGUUUCUGGAUUAAGGAUAAAUAACGCAGCAUUUGCCAGUGUGAAAUUCUUAACUAUACUUAAAUCACCUACCCAUAGAGCUGAGUUGUAGGAAGUUAUGGUUUACGCCUGGGGUGCAGUUCAAAGUUAAGCACCUUGUGGAUGCUUGCUAAGGACUUGUUGACUCUCUGAUUGCACCCUGCCAUGAAUGCCUAGCUCCUCUGUAUUUUCUAUAAUCUUGCCAGAUGCACUGGAACCAGAGAAGCACCAGGGUGGGAGAUUUCUCCCAUCUCUCUUUCUCUGCAAAAACUCCCUGAGCUGCUUAUAAAUAUGCUGAUCAAAACCUGCAUCAAAGAGAAAAUGCAUUUCCAUAUUCCCAGCUUCCUUUAUGAUCAGAGAAUGGAUCAAAGAGAAAACACAUCUCCCCAUUCCCGUUUUUCUUUUCAUUCCUGAUUUAGAGGUCAGACAUGAUUCACAUGUGGGAAUAGAACAAGCAAGGAGAAGUCCAUUUAGGGGCAGAAGUCCAUACGAGCUCAAGACCCAGAAGUAGGAACCCAUGCUGUGAACAUGAGUAAUUUUCUUAACAACUUAGUGUGAAUUAAAGAAAUUAAAGUAUGCUGUCGUGUUUGUUUGAACAGCUUACCUAGGAUUAUAAUAUUAAUGUCUCUGCUUUCUUUUGGUGAAGGUGCUAUAGACCUGAAACAGUUUUGUUGCAUAUUUUAGAGACAGUGCCUAUACAGAAAACAAAUAAGCUAUUUCACUUCAUAGCUCCACUAGAUAAAGAACUCGGUAUACAUUUCAAUAUACCCAACAAUGUGAUUCCAAUAACAAUGUAUUGACUAUAGUGAACUAAAAUAAAUACAAUUUCUUAAUAUCUAAAAAGUAAUUA